rnacentral:rRNA from 1 species
GACAGAGGGGGCAAGCGUUGCUCGGAAUUACUGGGCGUAAAGGGCGCGUAGGCGGGAUGGCAAGUCGGUCGUGAAAUCCCUCGGCUCAACUGAGGAUCGUCGAUCGAUACUGCCGUUCUUGAGGAUUGCAGAGGAGACUGGAAUUCCCGGUGUAGCGGUGAAAUGCGUAGAGAUCGUAAGGAAGACCAGUGGCGAAGGCGGGUCUCUGGACAGUUCCUGACACUGAGGCACGAAGGCCAGGGGAGCAAACGGG